CACGGGGGGAGCAAGCGUUGUUCGGAAUCACUGGGCGUAAAGGGCGUGUAGGCGGUCAAGUAAGUGGAAUGUGAAAGCCCCCGGCUUACCCGGGGAUCUGCAUCCCAAACUGCUUGGCUUGAGUACGGGAGAGGAUAGGGGAAUUCCUGGUGUAGCGGUGAAAUGCGUAGAUAUCAGGAGGAACACCGGUGGCGAAGGCGCCUAUCUGGCCCGAUACUGACGCUGAGGCGCGAAAGCGUGGGGAGCAAACAGG
rnacentral:rRNA from 1 species